rnacentral:rRNA from 1 species
CAGACGACGCUGGCGGCGUGCUUAAUACAUGCAAGUCGAGCGAGGCCUUGGAAUUGGAGUCCUUCGGGAUGAAGAGUCCUUGGCCUAGCGGCGGACGGGUGAGUAACGCGUGGGCAACCUACCCCAAAGUCCGGGAUAACAGUGGGAAACCGCUGCUAAUACCGGAUGACUUUACCUGAGGGCAUCCUCGGGUAAAGAAAGGUUACGCUUUUGGGAUGGGCCCGCGUCCCAUUAGCUAGUUGGUGAGGUAACGGCUCACCAAGGCGACGAUGGGUAGCCGGCCUGAGAGGGUGAACGGCCACACUGGGACUGAGACACGGCCCAGACUCCUACGGGAGGCAGCAGUAGGGAAUAUUGCGCAAUGGGCGGAAGCCUGACGCAGCGACGCCGCGUGAGCGAAGAAGGCCUUCGGGUCGUAAAGCUCUGUCCUUGGGGAAGAAGGCGAAAGCUUGACGGUACCCAAGAAGAAAGCCCCGGCUAACUACGUG